AGCAAAACAAAUGAAAGGUGGUUUCCUCUUGCUGGAGGGGAUUCUCUGAAGGCUAACCCUGCGUCCCACUAAUAGAGUCCCUCCUGCCGGUCUGCUCCUUCUGUUUCAGUGAAAUCCAUAAGCUGUUCCUUCGAGUGGUGCCACACCGAAUCUGUCCCUCCAGUUGGAGUGCUCACAGCUAGAGCGAUCAUUUGAAGAGCUCAGCAGGGAAACUCACAUAUCACCUGCUUGUUUGAAGGCUGAUUCCAACCACCGCUAUCAGCUUGCGCUUUCAGCAACACUAAAGGCUCUCUACAGUGUUGCCAGGCUUCAUGGAGGUCUCCUGAGCAAUAACAGCAAUCGAGGGUGGCACGUGUGUAAAGAAAAUGCUUACUCUUACUGUGAGAAUGGGUGGUAAAGUGGCUGCACUGAGUGCCGUGUGCCACUAACGACUCUUUGCUAAAGUGAG
rnacentral:lncRNA from 1 species